rnacentral:rRNA from 1 species
CCUACGGGAGGCAGCAGUAAGGAAUAUUGGUCAAUGGACGCAAGUCUGAACCAGCCAUGCCGCAUGAAGGAUGAAGGCCCUCUGGGUUGUAAACUUCUUUUAUAGGGGACGAAAAAAGGGAAUUCUUUCUCACUUGACGGUACCCUAGGAAUAAGCACCGGCUAACUCCGUGCCAGCAGCCGCGGUAAUACGGAGGGUGCAAGCGUUAUCCGGAUUCACUGGGUUUAAAGGGUGCGUAGGUGGGCAUUUAAGUCAGUGGUGAAAUCUCCGGGCUUAACCCGGAAACUGCCAUUGAUACUAUUUGUCUUGAAUAUUGUGGAGGUAAGCGGAAUAUGUCAUGUAGCGGUGAAAUGCUUAGAUAUGACAUAGAACACCCAUUGCGAAGGCAGCUUACUACGCAAAUAUUGACACUGAGGCACGAAAGCGUGGGGAUCAAACAGGAUUAGAUACCCUGGUAGUCCACGCCCUAAACCGAUGGAUACUCGACAUCAGCGAUACACAGUUGGUGUCUGAGCGAAAGCAUUAGUAUCCACCUGGAAGUACGACCGCAAGGUUGAAACUUAAAUGAAUUGAACGGCGNGAGAGNGCGAGAGACGACGAGGAGAGG